AUUCCGGUUGAUCCUGCCGGAGGACAUUGCUAUUGGGAUUCGAUUUAGCCAUGCUAGUCGAGCGAGUUCAGACUCGCGGCGAAUAGCUCAGUAACACGUGGCCAAGCUCCCCUUCAGCCAGCGAUACCCUCGGGUAAACUGUAGGUUAACAGCUGAUACAAAACGCCAGCUGGAAUGCGGCGUUUCAGUAAAGACAUCGCUGAGGGAUGCGGCUGCGGCCGAUUAGGUAGACGGUGGGGUAACGGCCCACCGUGCCAGUAAUCGGUACGGGUGAUGAGAGUCAGAGCCCGGAGACGGAAUCUGAGACAAGAUUCCGGGCCCUACGGGGCGCAGCAGGCGCGAAACCUUUACACUGCACGGAAGUGCGAUAGGGGAAUCCCAAGUGCGAGGGCAUAUUAGCCCUCGCUUUUCUCGACUGUAAGGUGGUCGACGAAUAAGAGCUGGGCAAGACCGGUGCCAGCCGCCGCGGUAAUACCGGCAGCUCAAGUGAUGUCC
rnacentral:rRNA from 1 species